AAUUAGUGUUAUUACAAAUCCAUUUGUCCCCACGCAGGAAAUUUCUAUGUCUAAAAUUAUAAUAAUAAUGGUCGGCAAUUGCUCCAGCGUCAGUGGAUAUUCAUAAUGAUAAUUACCUGAAUCAUACUACGCCGUUCAAAAUCGUCUAUAUAAAAGCCACACUUUAAAACUACUGGAAAUUGUCACGAUGAAAUUCUCGCUGGUUUUCGGUUUUGUGGUGUUAGGUAUAUUUGUGAUGGGGUCGGAGGCUGCACCUCAACAGUCUCAACCUCCACAGGGAGUACCACAAGGUGGACCAACCGGACCGAAAAGUUUUCGAGUUGAUGAUACUUUUAGUGCCAAGUUUGGAGGUGGCGGUCCCAAGGGAGGUGGUGGUGGUCCUCACUAAAUACUUUUUCUGGCAAAUUAAAUACAGGUCAACAAAUUGACUGCACCGUUUUUAAAGUGGAAAUUUUCAAAAUAAUUUAAAUAUUCUGGUAUAUUUAAAUAUAGCGGAGAUUGCUUUCUACAAAUGCUUUUUUUAUUUGUAAUGGAAUAAAAUGUGAAAAUA